AUACGUAGGGUGCAAGCGUUAAUCGGAAUUACUGGGCGUAAAGCGUGCGCAGGCGGUUUUGUAAGACAGAGGUGAAAUCCCCGGGCUCAACCUGGGAACUGCCAUUGUGACUGCAAGGCUGGAGUGCGGCAGAGGGGGAUGGAAUUCCACGUGUAGCAGUGAAAUGCGUAGAUAUGCGGAAGCACACCGAUGGCGAAGGCAAUCCCCGGGGCCAGCACUGACGCUCAUGCACGAAAGCGUGGGGAGCAAACAGGAUUAGAUACCCUGGUAGUCCACGCCCUAAACGAUGUCAACUGGUUGUUGGGGAUUUAUUUGCUCAGUAACGAAGCUAACGCGUGAAGUUGACCGCCUGGGGAGUACGGCCGCAAGGUUAAAACUCAAAUGAAUUGACGGGG
rnacentral:rRNA from 1 species